GACGCUGUGGUCCGCGCUGGAGGGGGCACUCGUAAUGCGUAGGUCUGGGGUUCGACUCCCCAAGGCGGCUCCA
rnacentral:tRNA from 1 species